GAUGAAGAACGUAGCGAAAUGCGAUAAGUAAUGUGAAUUGCAGAAUUCAGUGAAUCAUCGAAUCUUUGAACGCACAUUGCGCCCGCCAGUAUUCUGGCGGGCAUGCCUGUUCGAGCGUCAUUUCAACCAUCAAGCCCCCGGCUUGUGUUGGGGACCUGCGGCUGCCGCAGGCCCUGAAAACCAGUGGCGGGCUCGCUAGUCACUCCGAGCGUAGUAAUACAUCUCGCUCAGGGCGUGCUGCGGGUUCCGGCCGUUAAAAGCCUUAUUUACCCAAGGUUGACCUCGGAUCAGGUAGGAAGACCCGCUGAACUUAAGCAUAUCAAUAGCGGAGGA
rnacentral:misc_RNA from 1 species